rnacentral:rRNA from 1 species
GACGAACGCUGGCGGCGUGCUUAACACAUGCAAGUCGAACGGAAAGGCCCUGCUUUUGUGGGGUGCUCGAGUGGCGAACGGGUGAGUAACACGUGAGUAACCUGCCCUUGACUUUGGGAUAACUUCAGGAAACUGGGGCUAAUACCGGAUAGGAGCUCCUGCUGCAUGGUGGGGGUUGGAAAGUUUCGGCGGUUGGGGAUGGACUCGCGGCUUAUCAGCUUGUUGGUGGGGUAGUGGCUUACCAAGGCUUUGACGGGUAGCCGGCCUGGGAGGGUGACCGGCGACAUGAGGACUGAGAUACGGCGCAGACUGCUAUGGGAGGCAGCAGUGGGGAAUAUUGCACAAUGGGUGGAAGCCUGAUGCAGCAACGCCGCGUGCGGGAUGACGGCCUUCGGGUUGUAAACCGCUUUCGCCUGUGACGAAGCGUGAGUGACGGUAAUGGGUAAAGAAGCACCGGCUAACUACGUG